AACGCUGGCGGCGUGCCUAACACAUGCAAGUCGAACGAAGCGCCUUUUGAGAUUCUUCGGAUGAUUGAUCGGUGACUGAGUGGCGGACGGGUGAGUAACGCGUGGGUAACCUGCCCUGUACAGGGGGAUAACAGUUGGAAACGGCUGCUAAUACCGCAUAAGCGCACGAGAGGACAUCCUCUUGUGUGAAAAACUCCGGUGGUACAGGAUGGGCCCGCGUCUGAUUAGCUGGUUGGCAGGGUAACGGCCUACCAAGGCGACGAUCAGUAGCCGGUCUGAGAGGAUGAACGGCCACAUUGGAACUGAGACACGGUCCAAACUCCUACGGGAGGCAGCAGUGGGGAAUAUUGCACAAUGGGGGAAACCCUGAUGCAGCAACGCCGCGUGAGUGAAGAAGUAUUUCGGUAUGUAAAGCUCUAUCAGCAGGGAAGAUAAUGACGGUACCUGACUAAGAAGCUCCGGCUAAAUACGUGCCAGCAGCCGCGGUAAUACGUAUGGAGCAAGCGUUAUCCGGAUUUACUGGGUGUAAAGGGUGCGUAGGUGGCAGUGCAAGUCAGAUGUGAAAGGCCGGGGCUCAACCCCGGAGCUGCAUUUGAAACUGCUCGGCUAGAGUACAGGAGAGGCAGGCGGAAUUCCUAGUGUAGCGGUGAAAUGCGUAGAUAUUAGGAGGAACACCAGUGGCGAAGGCGGCCUGCUGGACUGUUACUG
rnacentral:rRNA from 1 species